CAGUCGCCGCGGUAAUACAGAGGGUGCGAGCGUUAAUCGGAUUUACUGGGCGUAAAGCGUGCGUAGGCGGCUUCUUAAGUCGGAUGUGAAAUCCCUGAGCUUAACUUAGGAAUUGCAUUCGAUACUGGGAAGCUUGAGUAUGGGAGAGGAUGGUAGAAUUCCAGGUGUAGCGGUGAAAUGCGUAGAGAUCUGGAGGAAUACCGAUGGCGAAGGCAGCCAUCUGGCCUAAUACUGACGCUGAGGUACGAAAGCAUGGGGAGCAAACAGGAUUAGAUACCCGAGUAGUCCCUGUCUCUUAUAC
rnacentral:rRNA from 1 species